UUGAGUAACACGUGGGUAACCUACCCGAAAGACUGGGAUAACACCCCGAAAGGGGUGCUAAUACCGGAUACCUUUAUAAGUUUGCAUGAACUUAUAAAGAAAGUUUUUUCGCUUUCGGAUGGGCCCGCGUCCCAUUAGCUAGUUGGUGAGGUAACGGCUCUCCAAGGCGACGAUGGGUAGCCGGCCUGAGAAGGUGGACGGCCACACUGGGACUGAGACACGGCCCAGACUCCUACGGGAGGCAGCAGUAGGGAAUAUUGCGCAAUGGACGGAAGUCUGACGCAGCGACGCCGCGUGAGCGAUGAAGGUCUUCGGAUCGUAAAGCUCUGUCCUUGGGGAAGAGGUGAAAGCUUGACGGUACCCAGAAGAAGCCCGGCUAACUACGUGCCAGCAGCCGCGGUAUACGUAGGGGCGAGCGUGUCCGAAUACUGGCGUAAGGGUGCGUAGCGGCCUUUAGCUGGAGUAAGCCGCGCUACCCGAUGGUAG
rnacentral:rRNA from 1 species